AGGAGCAUCGCUCGGUAGCUAUGUCCGGCAGGGAUAAGCGCUGAAGGCAUCUAAGCGCGAAACCCGCCUGAAGAUGAGACCUCCCGGGGCGUAAGCCCCCUGAAGGGCCCUCGUAGAUGACGAGGUUGAUAGGCCGGAGGUGUAAGCGCGGUGACGCGUUCAGCUGACCGGUACUAAUCGCCCGUGCGGCUUGACCAC
rnacentral:ncRNA from 1 species